UUGAUGAUGGCACAGUGGUUAGCACUGCUGCCUCGCAAUAAGGAAGUUCCGGGUUCGAGCCCCAGCCGGCCAG